GUAAUUAACAACAAAAAAAGCAUACAAUUUUAAUGGUUUUGAUUAUAUUUUGCUUAUAUUAUGCAACAAAUAAGAAGAAGUGAAGCUUGGGUUUAUUCAUUUUACACAUGCUUUAUUAGGACAGAGUGUGUAGUUGAACAUAAAUGAGUUUGUCUAGUAUUCAAUUAUUGUACUCUUUUUUUUUUGGGUCAUCAUUCAAUUAUUGUACCUGAUAGUAGCCGACUGCUUAGAUCUUGAGUCUUGAUUAUAUUAUUGUCGUAUCAAUCAAUACAUAUAAUUGCAGCUCAAUAUUCGUCAUUGCGUGUCUAUCUCAUCGUCCUUUUGUUGGGUCUUAUUAUGCUUGUUUUCAUUUAAGUACAAAUUAUUAAUGGUUUUGAAGUAUGUAUAUGCCUUCGUAGUAAAAUUUUAAUGUUGUGAUUUUGGAUGUGAGAAAAAUUGAUAUAUGUCAAGUAAGUUAAUAGUACUUCAUUCAGAGUAAAGCUUAUUUUAAUUAAUUAAUUACACUACAGGUUCUCCUUGUCUUCCUCCUUCAUAAGAUGGGUGUGUUUUCAUUCUCCAGCGGUGUGCAAUGCUCCAGAAAAAAAAAAAAUCUUAAGUGGCUAUACACGUAUGUUUUUAAGUAAUUACAUUUCUUAAACAUGAUUAAGUGAUUAAUUGGUUGACUUUAAUCCUAAUAAGUUGAAUCACUAAUAUUCUAUAUAUUCUUGUUAUUACAGCACAAGUUAUACACUAGAAGCAAAAAGUUCACGUCUAUCUAUCGAAGACGACGAAGCGUUCUUGGCACCCGAGAUAAAUGCCUUCGGGGAUCAGUUCAGGUUUCUUUUUUCUUCCAUCUAUAUACAUUGAAUUAAAAAAGAUAUUUUGAAUAUAUAAAGAAAAAUUGGAGUUUUUUUCUUUUGGUCGUCGGAUCUAAAAUCUUGACUUGAUCCGUAACGAUUACAUUGGUAUUUGGUCGCAGGGACUACGAUGCCGAGAAUGAGAGGCAGAAAGGCGUGGAAGCCUUUUAGAAAUCUCAACACAUUAACCAAACUGUCGACUUUGUAAGAUUCUUAAAAACUAAUAAGGGUUUAUAUAUAUUUAAUUAUUUAUACAACAUCUAUAUAGAUCUAUGGGAUCCACGUAGAAUAUAUAUGUGUAAUAUCUAUAUAAAUUAAACAAUAUAAUUUUUCAGGUGAUAGAGACGAGGGCAGAAUUUGGUAAAUUGGAUAAAGAAGUGAUGAGCAUUUGGGAAUGUUGUGAGCUUCUUAAUGAGGUGGUGGACGAGAGUGAUCCAGAUCUCGACGAGCCUCAAAUUCAACAUUUGCUUCAAUCUGCCGAAGCCAUCAGCAAGGAUUACCUUAGCGAAGCUUGGCUUCAUCUAACCGCUCUCAUUCAUGGUAAUUUGUUAUUACAAAUAGUCUAAUAUAGUGUGCCUUUUUUAUAAUCAGAACUAUAUAUGAGUAUCUGAGUUAGUUUUUUUUUUUUUUUUUUUUUUUGGAGCAACAUCUGAGCUAGUUCAUGGUUAGAUUUGUUUAGAUU
rnacentral:sRNA from 1 species